GGUUAUAAAUAGUGGAACGUUCAGCAGUACUCGGGUUUUACCGCUGCAUACUAUGAAAAGUCUGAGCAUGCGCACUUUCACCGCUUGAUUUUUAAAAACAGUGAUAAACAAACUUGCAGUGAAAUUUAGCUCGAUCCAGAACAAAGAAAAAGAGUCUUGUAUAAAAAUUCACAGAUCCAAUGUGUCUGAGGUUGAGGAAUGCAUUGCAGUAACACUUAAGCAUGCACCAGCUCAAAAAGAUGGACCAAGAUAUAAAAAGAGACCUGAAACCAACACAAGACCAGCUGAUCAGAGGGCAGAAAACCAAAAUUUGGAAUGACAUGUAUACAACCAACACAAGACUAAAAUUUGGAAUAAAAAUAAAAAAAAUUCAGAAACAUAU